GUAGUUGACCAGGAAAUUUUGACUUGGUGAUCAAAUAGUUAGAACUAUGGAUUUGAUGUUGGCCGCGAAUUCAGAGCAUUAUAGAUAGAAGCUAUAUUAACGU